UGGUAUGUGAAUUAUAUCUCAAUUAAAAAUUGAAAAAAAAAAAAAAAACCCACAACAAUCCUACGUAUGGAUAAGUUAUUCAAAUACUUAACCUCCCUAAUGGACUAGAAGACUUCAUCUGAAUCCAUAGCGCCAAGCCAGCACCUACCAGGCACUCAUUUUUUUCUUUGAGUGAUUAAACAAGUGAGCUAAAUACAUACAUUAUCCUAAAUUGAAUUCCUUGGACUCAUUUCCCAGGGGUGAUAAAAUUGGGUCCCUGUGACUCAUCUCUUUGUGAUGAUGUGGUUGCUUUCCCUGCUGGUGAUUCCACUGCUUUCCUUCCUGGCUUUAGCUAUCAGCCACUUACCAAAUAAUAUCCACUAGCUCAAGUGAUGUUGUAUGAGCAGUCUGGUCCUAAUGGAUUACGUGCCGGCACUUUGUUAACGAUCAUUCUAAGAUUUCACAUAAGAUGCCAUGGUUGCCUGGAUGGAGAGACUAGAUGGGAUAUUUCUGCAGUGAAAGCAUCUAUCCCACCAUGUCAGGCUGAUGAUAGCAGAAGCCUGCUCGAGUCUGGCACAUGGCUUGGGAAUGUUGUGCUCAGGAUGUGCUUCUAUCGUCUGGCAGAAUGUGAAGGACGCUCUGUAAUAACCCCUGAUAACACUGCAUCCCUUCUCCUUGGAACCACAGUCCCCUCCUAACUGAUGUUACAGGAUGAAGAAACACCCAAGGAACUCUGCCUUGGGAGGACGAAAUAAUAUGACCUGGGAUCACCUUUCCCUUUGAAUCUCAAAACGUCCUCUUCUGUCUAAAAGGAUGCUUCACCACUUCGCAAAUGGUAAUAAAUGGUGCAAGAAUGAAAAAAAAAAAUCUUUGACCUGGGCUGAUAGGACCAAGAAAUGUGAAACAUACCCAAGGGAAACUCUGACCCACUUAGACUUCUACCAGAAAAAAAAAUUGCCCCAAAUCCUCCAAAACUACCCCCCCCCCCAGCAAACAAACAAAAAAACCCAGGAUUUCAUAGUUACUUCCUGUCCUAUUUUAAACAGGGCCUUAAAAAGACAAGUAAAAGAUAAAUUUAGCAAGGUUUACAAGUCAGAAGGACCCAUUAAGGAAGUGCACAAAAGGCCAUGUGAGGUUCUGCCAUGGAUAUUUGCAUCAACAACAACAACAACAGGGAAGUGGCCUUGAGUCCUGGGUCAGGACUCUCCCCCAGGGUUGGUAUAUAAGCCCCUCCCCCAGCAGGAGGAGGCACCAGACCUCCCUCACCUCCCGAGUCUCCCUCCUCUCCUCUCCCGAGUCCUCUCUGCCGACACCAUGGGGUGCUGUGGCUGCGGAAGUUGCGGUGGCUGCGGCGGCUGCGGCGGUGGCUGCGGUGGCUGCGGUAGUGGCUGCGGUGGCUGCGGUAGUGGCUGCGGUGGCUGCGGCGGCGGCUGCGGCAGCUGCACCACCUGCAGGUGCUACCGGGUGGGCUGCUGCUCCAGCUGCUGUCCCUGCUGCUGCGGCUGCUGCGGGGGCUGCUGCAGCGUCCCCGUGGUCUGCUGCUGCCGCCGCUCGUGUGGCUGCGGCUCGUGCGGCUGCGGGAAGGGCUGCUGCCAGCAGAAGUGCUGUUGUCAGCAGAAGUGCUGUUGCAAGAGGCAGUGCUGCAGCUAGGCGGGCGGCCUGGCAUCUGGGCACGUGCUUCGAGCGACCCUGCUGUAGGUAAGACGUCCCCCUCCCUCCCGGCCUGCUCCUCACUUUUCAGUCACCAGCAUGACCGGAGCCUUACCCCCAAUCCGUCGGAAUCCCCCGCUCCUGUAGUUUCUGUCGUCCCAUCUGCGUGUAAUAAACACCAACCAAAGUAAUAAAUGUGUAGUCUCCUCUGUCAAUCGCAUUCGAAUCUCCUCCUCGACAAAAAUGAAUCGGGAUAGCUAAUGUCCUCCCUUCUCGAAACGCCUUUGACCUUGUGUUUAUGUCCUGGUUUUGCCACUGCAUUUGCCGUCUCUGUAAAUGCAAAGCAACUGUCAUCCUAAUAAAUGAGGCUGAACCCGCCUCAAAGA